UGGGAAACUGCCUGAUGGAGGGGGAUAACUACUGGAAACGGUAGCUAAUACCGCAUAACGUCGCAAGACCAAAGAGGGGGACCUUCGGGCCUCUUGCCAUCAGAUGUGCCCAGAUGGGAUUAGCUAGCUUGUGGGGUAAUGGCUCACCUAGGCGACGAUCCCUAGCUGGUCUGAGAGGAUGACCAGCCACACUGGAACUGAGACACGGUCCAGACUCCUACGGGAGGCAGCAGUGGGGAAUAUUGCACAAUGGGCGCAAGCCUGAUGCAGCCAUGCCGCGUGUAUGAAGAAGGCCUUCGGGUUGUAAAGUACUUUCAGCGAGGAGGAAGGCAUUGUGGUUAAUAACCACAGUGAUUGACGUUACUCGCAGAAGAAGCACCGGCUAACUCCGUGCCAGCAGCCGCGGUAAUACGGAGGGUGCAAGCGUUAAUCGGAAU
rnacentral:rRNA from 1 species